GUUUAGAGUGACCUGCUGGAUAUCCGUGAAGGUGAAAAUAAAGAGAGUUCAAAAUGUGUUUGUUUACAAAACCACGAGUCUAACAUAACAUGGGCAUGGAGUAGUGGGGAAUAAUGUGACAAGAAUGCUGUCCAUGAGUCUAGAUUUUGAGUUGUUAGGAAGGAUGAGACUGGACUUCAAUGAGAAGAGGAUACUGGGGUACACAGGCAGGUGAGCAGACUCUUAAAACAACUAUAAAUUUCAAUUUACAGGGUUAUUGAGUGAAUAUGUCUCCCCCAAAUCCACGUGUUGAAAUCUUAGCCCACAAUGUGAUGAUAUUAGUAGGUGGUGCCUUUUGGCGGUGAUUAGGUCGUGAGGGUGGAGCCCUCAUGAAUAGGAUUUGUGCCCUUAUAAAAGAGAUUCUAGAGAGCUUUCUCACUCCUUUCCACCACGUGAGAACACAGUGAGAAGACAGUAUCCAUGAAUCAGCAAGAAGGCCCUCACCAGUCACCAAAUCUUCUAGCACCUUGAUCUUCGAAGCCUCAGCCUCCAGAAUUGUGAGAAAUAAAUGUUUGCUGUUUAAGCCACCCAAUGAUGUUUUUGUUGUAACAGCCCAUGGACUAAGACUAUAUAUAUAUGUGUAUGCAUAUGUACAUAUGUAUACAUAUAUGUAUACAUAAUAUUAAUUAUAUAUACACAUUCAGUAUGGCAUCUAUAGCACAGAAUGUUAAUACCUUCAUCAUCAUUUUAUCUGAAGAAAACCAGUCAACAUUCACUGUGAUUUUUAAAUUUUGCAGUUUUUGAUGAUAGACUUAGUAGGAAAUAGACAUGUGGGAAGUUUCCAAUAUGCCUUCUGUACCUAUCACUGAGGAGCUCUGAGCUGAGAUUAUAAUGAGUAGAGCUGUAUUAGAAAACAUUCUCCAUUCUGCUGCACUUCCUCCGGGCUGAGUGAACACGCCGUUUCUUACUGAGUAUGUUUUAUUUAGCAUUUCAGCCAGCUUUCCAAUUUAGCUAACUUUCAGGUUCUCUUGUUAACUUACUUACUUGUGUGCCCAAGUAGAAUUGGAACACCUCUUUUGCAUAAUCACAAUCAGUAGAAUUGGAACACCUCUUUUGCAUAAUCACAAUCUGUUGACCCCUUAUCUUUUGAAGAUCUGAUGCACAAACUCAGGGCAAUGCUGGUUCCCAACUGGAACUGUGGACCUCAGUGGUGUUGAACAAUCGGGAAAAGAAACAUAAAAUGGAAAGGUCUCCACCAGUCAACCGUAAGAAACAGUGAUGACUAUGAUGUAGCCUUCAGCAUGGGGAAGUACCAAGUAGGUGUCCAGAUAAGCUGAAAGGCAAUGAAGUGACAGGAAGGAAAGGUCUGGGACUGCCUCACCAGCAGAAAUACACCAGGCACCUGGAAGUCCUUGCUGGUCACUUGCUCACUGCUCAGGGCAGGACCACUCAAGCUGGUGCCUGCAUUCUAUGCUACCAGCAGCAGCUGCCCUAGCUUCUUUACCACAUCAACGUUUUCAUACACAUUAUCUCACAAUUUGUCUGCUAAGGUAGGUGUAAGGGACACUGUGGGGAAUUGGGAGCUCUGGGCAGUCUAGCAACUUUGCCAUGGCCACACGGUUAGUAAGUGGUGGCAGCCAGGUCUGGUCCUCAGCCCCAUGCUCCCUCCCUGCCUUGUGUGGAGGAAGCCCCUUGUCACCCACCAUUUCUACCAUAUGAAGAGUGAUGACAUUCUUCCAAGAUUUCAGGAGAAUUAAUUGUGGUUGACAUUUUGUGACAUCCUUAAAUAUUCUUUGCAUUAUUAUGAUACAGCACAGAGCUUUGUGAUAAUUCAUGGAAUUUUUUUUUUUUACCAUUCAUCUAAGCUGUCAAUUUUCUACUUUUAUAAAUCAUGUUGUGUUGAGCAUUUCUGUUUUGAGUAUUUGACCAAAUUUCUAAUUAUUUCCUUAAGGUAGAUUCCUAAAAAUGAAAUUACUGAACCUGAAUAUGAACUCUUUUGAAGCUCUUGAUACAUAGCUCCAGUUACUUUUACUGAAAGACCUAUCACACUGUUCUUCCACCAGCAGUAUUUUUAAAAUGUGCCUGUUUCAUCAUAUGCACACACACACACACACACACACAAAUAUAUAUAUAUAUAUGUAUUUCACUAAUUUGACAGGUGAAGAUUAUUGUUUUAAUAUCUACUUUAUUGACUACUAGUUAGACUACAGUCAUUUUUAUUAGUCAUUAGUUUGUUUAUCAAGUGCUCCUUUGUAUAUUUUGUCCCUUCAUUGUAUGGAUAUGUUAAUUUCCUUAAUUGAUUUCUGUGAGCUUUUCCUAUAAUCAACAAUCAAUGGUUUAUCAUUUGUUUGUAAAAUUUCCCUGGAUUUCCCCCUUGCUUUGGUGGCCUUGUUGUAUCUUCAUUAUUGAUGAUGACUUCUAGAACUAGGCUGCCCUGUCUCCUGUAGUUCUUCCCCCCAAAUGCUUCCCGAUGUCCCAAUGUGUGGGAAACUGUUUAAGUCACAAGCCUGAGAUUCAAUCAUUGAAUAGUCUUGUGUUAGCGCAUGGUGUAGUGGUGAGAAACAUAGUACAUAAAGGAAGCACACCAUACGGGGGCUUCCUUUGAGCACAGAAUGAGUUACUGAAAUAAUAGGCAGAUGAAACAAGGAGGAACGGGGAGAAACACGGGAUGGUGCAUGGGAAAAGCAAGGCAGCAGCGGCUUGAGGGGAGAAAGUGGAGUUCAUUUAUCAGCAUCUCCCUUGUGCUCUUCCUUGUGCUCUUCCCAUGGCAGCUGCCUGCUAA
rnacentral:lncRNA from 1 species